rnacentral:rRNA from 1 species
UACGGGGGGAGCAAGCGUUGUUCGGAUUUACUGGGCGUAAAGGGCGCGUAGGCGGCCAGCACAAGUCGGUUGUGAAAUCCUUCGGCUCAACCGAAGAACGUCGGCCGAUACUGCCGUUCUUGAGGGAUGCAGAGGAGAUUGGAAUUCCCGGUGUAGCGGUGAAAUGUGUAGAGAUCGGGAGGAACACCGGUGGCGAAGGCGGGUCUCUGGGCAUCUCCUGACGCUGAGGCGCGAAAGCGUGGGGAGCAAACGGG